UUAGUUUAGAUGGGUAUCUUGGUCAGCAUGGACUAGUUGGGCCGAAGGGUCUUUUCAGUGCUGUGCGACCCUAUUUCAUAAACAAUGGAGGUAUGAAAUUGACAUUGGUCACAUGCUCUGAUAUUCAUCGUCGAAGUAAUUUCAAGGCAGCAACAUGUGCUGGGCUGUGAAUAAAAGCUCCUGAUCCCUGACUAACACGAGCGUUGUUAUGAGGUGCAAGUAUUUGGUGGAAUCAAAAUUUGCCCCGUCUUGUGAUAGAGAGAAAUCGAAAGCGACUUGGAGCUGCACUGCUUCCUGAUCGAAGUCAUCAGCCCGGACUUUCCCGCGACUGCACCAGCGCUCAGAUAAAUACCAGUCGCACCCGAAAAAAGCCACUUAUUCUGAGACAUCGUCUUUACCUGACGCUGGAACUUGAUUGAUUUAUAUUACAUCGAGUGAAACGGAUAACAAAAGCGGAUGAAACCAUUGAUGCGAACGAACGUCAAACGACCGGAGCCUCAAGGUUCCCCGACAGAUCCAAAAGACCUCAAAGAAGUAGCACGAGAGCUGAGGAAAUUGGGAGAUCUUUUACACCUCAAGCACUUGAUACUUAAUCUCCAACCGGACGACAAUCCCAAGAAAAACUACAGAGACGUAAAGAAAAAAUAAAAAUGGUUUAAAGGUAUUUUACAACGUUUCAUGAAAAAUGAUACUGGAUUGAAUUCAUUGUUGAAGAAAUGAAGGAGAGCAAAAGGGAGGAAGAGCAAGUGGAAUGGAUUCCUGCUGCCUUUAAGCCGUGCCUAUGAGAGAAACUAGAGGACAGACCACAUCUGACGAGCUCCAGACUUACAAGUGUUUGCAGAGGAUGAUUAGCAAGACAAUGAAAAGAGCCAGAAAUAAAAAAAACAUUAGAACUUGAUUUCAAAUAGGCAGUUUGAAAUGGAACUAAUGUCCACAUUUGAGGUGAACGGGCUCAAAAUGACGUGUUUGUGUUAAAUCUUAUGUUACAUCUCUUAAAUGUUUCAAGAAACUACAAAUUAAGCUGAAUUAAGCUUUUUAUAUAAAUAACAUAUUUGUGAGGUGGAUAAAUAAGUGGAAGAAAUAAGAACUAUUAAAUGUCAGAAAAUAUUUUAAAACAUUAAAUGUUUCACUUAAAUAUGACAUAUACUUCCAUUGCUAACUUUGCUUCAUUAUUGAAUGACAUAAAAUUAUCCUCAUGACUUUCAAAUUGUUAAUGUGAUGACUAAUCUAAAAUAAAUACAAUUACUGCCAUUGCA